GAUGAACGCUGGCGGCGUGCCUAAUACAUGCAAGUCGAGCGAACAGACGAUGAGCUUGCGCCUCUGACGUUAGGGGCGGAUGGGUGAGUAACACGAGGAAAACCUACCUAUAAUAGGGGGAAAACUUCGGGAAACCGGAUCUAAUACCGGAUAAUAUAUUGCACCAUAUUGGUGAAUGGUAAAAUACGGUUGUGGGGGCAGUUAUAGAUGGAUACCCGCCUGAUUAUGUGGUUGGUAAGUUAAAGGCUUUUCAAGGGAAGCAUGCGUAAGCGACCUGAGAGGGUGGUCGACCACCUUGGAAGUGGACCACGGUCCAUAGUCCUACGGGAGGCAGCAGUAGGGAAUCUUCCGCAAAGGGCGAAAGCCUGACGGAGCAACGCCGAGUGAGUGAUGAAGGUCUUCGGAUCGUAAAACUCUGUUAUUAGGGAAGAACCAAUGUGUAAGUAACUAUGCACGUAUUGACGGUAACUAAUCAGAAAGCCACGGCUAACUACGUG
rnacentral:rRNA from 1 species